UGCAAGUCGAACGGUGAAAGAGAGCUUGCUCUCUGGAUCAGUGGCGAACGGGUGAGUAACACGUGAGCAAUCUGCCCCUGACUCUGGGAUAAGCGCUGGAAACGGCGUCUAAUACCGGAUACGAGCUGCGAAGGCAUCUUCAGCAGCUGGAAAGAACUUCGGUCAGGGAUGAGCUCGCGGCCUAUCAGCUAGUUGGUGAGGUAAUGGCUCACCAAGGCGUCGACGGGUAGCCGGCCUGAGAGGGUGACCGGCCACACUGGGACUGAGACACGGCCCAGACUCCUACGGGAGGCAGCAGUGGGGAAUAUUGCACAAUGGGCGCAAGCCUGAUGCAGCAACGCCGCGUGAGGGACGACGGCCUUCGGGUUGUAAACCUCUUUUAGCAGGGAAGAAGCGAAAGUGACGGUACCUGCAGAAAAAGCACCGGCUAACUACGUGCCAGCAGCCGCGGUAAUACGUAGGGUGCAAGCGUUAUCCGGAAUUAUUGGGCGUAAAGAGCUCGUAGGCGGUUUGUCGCGUCUGCUGUGAAAUCUGGGGGCUCAACCCCCAGCCUGCAGUGGGUACGGGCAGACUAGAGUGCGGUAGGGGAGAUUGGAAUUCCUGGUGUAGCGGUGGAAUGCGCAGAUAUCAGGAGGAACACCGAUGGCGAAGGCAGAUCUCUGGGCCGUAACUGACGCUGAGGAGCGAAAGGGUGGGGAGCAAACAGGCUUAGAUACCCUGGUAGUC
rnacentral:rRNA from 1 species